rnacentral:rRNA from 1 species
GCUUAGCCCUAAACCUAAAUAAUUCAAUAACAAAAAUAUUUGCCAGAGAACUACUAGCCACCGCUUAAAACUCAAAGGACUUGGCGGUACUUUAUAUCCACCUAGAGGAGCCUGUUCUAUAAUCGAUAAACCCCGCUAUACCUCACCAUCUCUUGCUAAUUCAGCCUAUAUACCGCCAUCUUCAGCAAACCCUAAAAAGGAACUAAAGUAAGCACAAGAACAAACAUAAAAACGUUAGGUCAAGGUGUAGCCAAUGAGAUGGGAAGAAAUGGGCUACAUUUUCUUUCAAAAGAACAUUACGAAACCCUUUAUGAAACUAAAGGAUAAAGGCGGAUUUAGUAGUAAAUUAAGAAUAGAGAGCUUAAUUG